UCUUAUGGAUGAACAAAGAAACUGGUUUCUUGAAAUGGAAACUACUCCUUGUAAUAAUGCUGUGAA
rnacentral:pre_miRNA from 4 species